UACGGAGGGUGCGAGCGUUGUCCGGAAUCACUGGGCGUAAAGGGCGCGUAGGCGGCCUGAUAAGUAGGGGGUGAAAUCCUGCGGCUUAACCGCAGGGCUGCCUUCUAAACUGUCAGGCUCGAGCACAGUAGAGGCAGGUGGAAUUCCCGGUGUAGCGGUGGAAUGCGUAGAGAUCGGGAAGAACAUCAGUGGCGAAGGCGGCCUUCUGGACGGUGACUGACGCUGAGACGCGAAAGCGUGGGGAGCAAACAGG
rnacentral:rRNA from 1 species